rnacentral:rRNA from 1 species
GACGAACGCUGGCGGCGUGCUUAACACAUGCAAGUCGAACGGUAAGGCUCCAGCUUGCUGGGGUACACGAGUGGCGAACGGGUGAGUAACACGUGGGUGACCUGCCCUGCACUUCGGGAUAAGCCUGGGAAACUGGGUCUAAUACCGGAUAGGACCGCACCGUGAGGGUGUGGUGGAAAGUUUUUUCGGUGUGGGAUGGGCCCGCGGCCUAUCAGCUUGUUGGUGGGGUAAUGGCCUACCAAGGCGGCGACGGGUAGCCGGCCUGAGAGGGUGGACGGCCACAUUGGGCCUGAGAGACGGACCAGACUCCUACGGGAGGCAGCAGUGGGGAAUAUUGCACAAUGGGCGGAAGCCUGAUGCAGCGACGCCGCGUGGGGGAUGACGGCCUUCGGGUUGUAAACUCCUUUCACCAUCGACGAAGGGUUUCUGACGGUAGAUGGAGAAGAAGCACCGGCUAACUACGUG